CAGGUGGGACUACCUGCUGAACUUAAGCAUAUC
rnacentral:rRNA from 1 species